AGAACAUCCACAUCACCAACAAGGACCUGUACGGGCAACUGCCGAGGCUCAGCAAGAAGAUACGGCAACAGCAGAAGUCACACUGAUUUGCAGUGAGCGGUCGGGUGCAGGAGGAGGAGGAAGUUUGGAGAGAGACUGGAAAGUCCUGGAAGAAAGCG